rnacentral:snRNA from 1 species
AUUGCUUCUCGGUCUUUUGGCUAAGAUCAAGUGUAGUAUUCAUACUAGUUUCUCUAUAAAUAUUUUAGGAGAAAGACACAGUAGAAGAAUUGGUAGAGUUUUCAGUAUUCUCUUGAUAAAGUUCAAGCAUG